rnacentral:rRNA from 1 species
UACGAAGGGGGCUAGCGUUGCUCGGAAUCACUGGGCGUAAAGCGCACGUAGGCGGACUCUUAAGUCGGUGGUGAAAUCCUGGAGCUCAACUCCAGAACUGCCUUCGAUACUGAGAGUCUCGAGUCCGAGAGAGGUGGGUGGAACUGCGAGUGUAGAGGUGAAAUUCGUAGAUAUUCGCAAGAACACCAGUGGCGAAGGCGGCUCACUGGCUCGGUACUGACGCUGAGGUGCGAAAGCGUGGGGAGCGAUCCGG